GGAAUUUUGGACAAUGGGGGCAACCCUGAUCCAGCCAUGCCGCGUGCGGGAAGAAGGCCUUCGGGUUGUAAACCGCUUUUGUUCGGGAAGAAAUCGUCCUCGCUAAUACCGGGGGCGGAUGACGGUACCGGAAGAAUAAGCACCGGCUAACUACGUGCCAGCAGCCGCGGUAAUACGUAGGGUGCAAGCGUUAAUCGGAAUUACUGGGCGUAAAGCGUGCGCAGGCGGUUUCGCAAGUCAGAUGUGAAAGCCCCGGGCUUAACCUGGGAACUGCAUUUGAAACUACGAGGCUAGAGUGUGUCAGAGGGGGGUAGAAUUCCACGUGUAGCAGUGAAAUGCGUAGAGAUGUGGAGGAAUACCGAUGGCGAAGGCAGCCCCCUGGGAUAACACUGACGCUCAUGCACGAAAGCGUGGGGAGCAAACAGGAUUAGAUACCCUGGUAGUCCACGCCCUAAACGAUGUCAACUAGUUGUCGGGGAAGCAAUUCCUUGGUAACGCAGCUAACGCGUGAAGUUGACCGCCUGGGGAGUACGGUCGCAAGAUUAAAACUCAAAGGAAUUGACGG
rnacentral:rRNA from 1 species